AAUUGACAUGUGCUGCUUUCUAUGUGCAGAUACAGUUUCCAUUUUUCUUUCCCCUUUCUUUUCCCUCCCUUUUUGUUUCCUCUUUUUAUCUUAAAUAUCAUGUGCACCGUCUCUUCACUCACACUAGUGACACUAAACACACUAUUAUAUAUUAUACCCAAUGGAUCAUUAACGGGGCCUUUUUCUUCCAGUUUACUACUGGGGAUGAAUUCCCCUUUAUAACCGCUAGAUGGCAGCCCCAGCAUCAAUAUUAAUCAUCACAGCUAAGCCAUGCUAAAAAUCCCAAUUCAUCAUUGUGUGCCUAAUAUUCAUUGGGUGUUUGUGCCGUGAUGGCUAUUCUUGUGCGUUUUCUGUUUGGGCAUGGGGAAUUUUUGCUUUGUGCCCUGAACUUUGUGGGCCGUUUUGGGCGAUAUACCAUACUAGUCCGCCUCAGUGGGAUCUCUAUUUAUGCGCCGCACUAUCGAAACGGCGCGCAUCUAUGACGUCAUCACGUUAUACGUCCAUGUGAUCCCACAGCCUAUAUAAACCUGAUGCUCAUGCAAUGGCGCUGUGUCACCGUGUGUACACCCUGGGACACAGACGCAUUGCUGCUGCAAUCAGUUAUAGGGCCUGUACAAAAGCCCCAUACAAAGGCUGCUACAGAAAGGGUUUCUCUAUGUAAGCCCCUCCACAUUGCUGUUAUACUGCCAUCUGUUGUCCCAGUGUGCUCAGGACUUCAUAAAAAUAGUCCGAGUAUUAACUCUUCCUGUGGUACAUAUCUUCCACCUUUUGGACUUGCAGUCUUGACUCUUUCGACUCACCUAA